CAGAAUACUGGUAUGGUAUAAUAAACUAAUUCGACAAAGAUGUGUGUCUAAAAAAUAAAUAUUUGUUAUGAAGAAAAAAUAUUAGUUAUUUACAGAGCUAUCCUUAUUAAGUUUGAUGUCAUCAGGUGGCAGAAACCAAUGAACUAACAUCUAGACAAUCUGACCUCGCACUGCACAAUCAUCCAACCUUUGCUCAACAUCCAUCAAACUCAAUACACAAUUACUGACUUCCCUCACCUUCAAACCCGUAGCUCGAGUAUUUUUCUUGAAUACAGCAAUUAAUCCCAGUACUUGUGCUUCAUUUUUGAAUAACUUUUCAUGAAGUAAUAACCAAAGAAAGCUUCUAAUAUACACUGAGGACCUCUCCAUUUCCAAACUUUUUUCUACAGUAAGUUAGGAUCAUGCCAUGAAAUACUAGCAAGCAUCAAGUAGCUAAAUUGUAUAGCAAAUCUUCAUGAGCUCGAACCAGUCCAAAUCAAAGCAGGAACAAACAGUAAGUGAUAUUGUCUGCUACUUGGUCCAUCAGCGCACAGGCCUGAUGACAGCAUCUUUCAGAAACAGACUGCCCUUAAGCCAAGCAUGUUGCCAUAAUAAGAUCAUCACCAACCCACCAGCAAAUGGUUACGUUGAACAUGAGGAAUAAUAAUUAGCAAGCUCACUCUCAUAAACUUUAUAUUUCGACUUUAGAACUUGAACUCACAGUCCAUACUUAUUCACCAUUAACUCCCAAACUAAUUUUAUCAGGAAAGCCUCAUCAAGCAGCCCCAAAUACCACAACCCUAAUUGCCUCCCAUCUCCUUAGGCUGCUGCACUUGAGCCCACGGAACGAAUGCCAUCUUUCUAAACUAUACUGAAAGAAUCCACAAUUUUUUUUACUAUAAUUCUUCUCCAACUCCUAUAAAUGGGAGAUG
rnacentral:lncRNA from 1 species